rnacentral:rRNA from 1 species
AACGAACGCUGGCGGCAGGCCUAACACAUGCAAGUCGAGCGAGGACUUCGGUCCUAGCGGCGGAUGGGUGAGUAACGCGUGGGAACGUGCCCUUUGCUUCGGAAUAGCCCUGGGAAACUGGGAGUAAUACCGGAUGAGCCCUUUGGGGGAAAGAUUUAUCGGCGAAGGAUCGGCCCGCGUUGGAUUAGGUAGUUGGUGGGGUAAUGGCCUACCAAGCCGACGAUCCAUAGCUGGUUUGAGAGGAUGAUCAGCCACACUGGGACUGAGACACGGCCCAGACUCCUACGGGAGGCAGCAGUGGGGAAUCUUAGACAAUGGGGGAAACCCUGAUCUAGCCAUGCCGCGUGAGCGAUGAAGGCCUUAGGGUUGUAAAGCUCUUUCAGCUGGGAAGAUAAUGACGGUACCAGCAGAAGAAGCCCCGGCUAACUCCGUG